CGUCUGGAAAGGCGCGCGAUACAGGGUGACAGCCCCGUACACAAAAAUGCACAUAUUGUGAGCUCGAUGAGUAGGGCGGGACACGUGGUAUCCUGUCUGAAUAUGGGGGGCCCAUCCUCCAAGGCUAAAUACUCCUGACUGACCGAUAGUGAACCAGUACCGUGAGGGAAAGGCGAAAAGAACCCCGGCGAGGGGAGUGAAAAAGAACCUGAAACCGUGUACGUACAAGCAGUGGGAGCACGCUUAGGCGUGUGACUGCGUACCUUUUGUAUAAUGGGUCAGCGACUUAUAUUCUGUAGCAAGGUUAACCGAAUAGGGGAGCCGAAGGGAAACCGAGUCUUAACUGGGCGUUAAGUUGCAGGGUAUAGACCCGAAACCCGGUGAUCUAGCCAUGGGCAGGUUGAAGGUUGGGUAACACUAACUGGAGGACCGAACCGACUAAUGUUGAAAAAUUAGCGGAUGACUUGUGGCUGGGGGUGAAAGGCCAAUCAAACCGGGAGAUAGCUGGUUCUCCCCGAAAGCUAUUUAGGUAGCGCCUCGUGAAUUCAUCUCCGGGGGUAGAGCACUGUUUCGGCAAGGGGGUCAUCCCGACUUACCAACCCGAUGCAAACUGCGAAUACCGGAGAAUGUUAUCACGGGAGACACACGGCGGGUGCUAACGUCCGUCGUGAAGAGGGAAACAACCCAGACCGCCAGCUAAGGUCCCAAAGUCAUGGUUAAGUGGGAAACGAUGUGGGAAGGCCCAGACAGCCAGGAUGUUGGCUUAGAAGCAGCCAUCAUUUAAAGAAAGCGUAAUAGCUCACUGGUCGAGUCGGCCUGCGCGGAAGAUGUAACGGGGCUAAACCAU
rnacentral:rRNA from 1 species